ACAAGCUGUUUCUGGUUGUUGUGUGAGGCAGUGAUCGUAGGCUACACUGCAGCGUGCUUCACAUUCAUUCGGCUUCAGACAGAUAUCUGCUGUGGAGUGCUGUGAUUGUGUCUGACGGCGCACUGUUGCACUUGUACCAUGGCAGCUGAGCUCUCCUCCUCCAUUAACAUUAAAGAACCUCGAUGGGAUCAAGAAACAUUUGUGGGUCGAGCAAAGCAUUUCUUCACUGUCACUGACCCCAGAAAUAUCCUCCUUUCUAAUGAACAACUAGAAAAAUCACGUCAGAUUAUUCAGGAUUACAGAAAAGGGGUGGUAACGCCAGGUCUCACAGAAGAUGAUCUUUGGCGUGCAAAGUAUGUUUUUGACUCUGCAUUCCAUCCGGACACGGGUGAGAAAAUGCUCCUGAUUGGUCGCAUGUCUGCUCAGGUCCCCAUGAACAUGACCAUCACUGGAUGCAUGAUGACGUUCUACAGGACGACUCCAGCUGUUCUGUUUUGGCAGUGGAUCAAUCAGUCUUUUAAUGCAAUAGUCAACUACACCAACAGGAGUGGAGAUGCCCCCAUCACAGUAAACCAACUUGGCACAGCAUAUGUAUCAGCCACCACUGGGGCAGUGGCGACAGCUUUAGGACUAAACGCAUUAGCAAAGCAUAUUUCUCCACUCAUAGGCCGCUUUGUGCCAUUCGCUGCUGUAGCCGCUGCAAACUGUAUCAAUAUUCCGCUGAUGAGACAAAGGGAACUCAAACACGGCAUUCCAGUAACAGAUGAGAAUGACAAUCGAUUAGGAGAAUCUUCAAAGGCAGCUCAACAGGCCAUCCAACAAGUGGUAGUGUCCAGAAUCCUCAUGGCCUCUCCGGGAAUGGCCAUCCCUCCAUUUUUAAUGAACUCCUUGGAAAAGAAGGCCUUCCUCAAGAGGUUUCCAUGGAUGAGUGCACCCAUUCAAGUUGGCUUGGUUGGAUUUUGCCUUGUAUUUGCAACUCCUCUGUGCUGUGCAUUAUUCCCACAAAAGAGCUCAAUGGCGUUGAGUCGCUUGGAACCAGAGUUGCAGGAAAAGAUUCGAGCCAGUCAUCCUGGAGUAGAGAGGGUCUAUUUCAACAAAGGACUGUGAGACAAAUGUCAGUGAAUCCCCACUUUACUGGAACUGUUUCACUCACCAUAAAUCCAAAACAUCUCUUCUGUGUGCCAAAAUUCACCCAUUCCUCUCCAGGACAUCCCAGCACAAUCAUUUUGGAAGGUGUUUUGACAUUUUUGACUGUUUUAAUUGUUUUUAAACUAAAUGCAUUUUCGUCAUUGCUGAUCUGUGCCAGUCUUUUGUCAGACAUGUGUAUGACGGUGCUUAUUAAUUUACAUACGAGUAGAUUGUUUUGAAAUUUGCAAUUGUAAUCGUACGUGCUGCCAUAUUAUUCCAUGUGACAUUCAAUGUCAUUUUCGGUAAGGAUCAAAGAUGGCAGAUUAUGUACUUUCUGAUAGUAUGUAUUGCAUUGUUGUAAUCAGUCUUUUAUGUAUUAUCUUUACAUGAGUGUUGCUGUUUAUACAGAACUGCCAAAUUUCAAAUUCAGUUUUAAGAAAAGUCAUGGGACCUCAUUAUGACAAUAGUGCAAUAGGUUUCAGACAUUGCCAAAUAUAGACCUCUGCUGCACAUUUCCUUAGAUACAGGUUUAAUAAACAGACACUAUAGCAUGGAUUUAAAGACGAGUUUUAUCUAUUUUACUAUGCUCAGUAUUUCAAGUUCAAUCCCUUAGAAUGUUAUAUGAGGUAUGCUGAGUAGUGUGUAUUUUCAUAUAAAUUCUUCUGCCUGCUGACCAUGCAUGAACAAACUUUUGUAAGUGACAAUAGUAUGAGGUUAAAAUUCAAAGUGUUGGCAUUGAAUGUUCCAAUGUCCACUCCUCUAACAGUUCAAGUGAUGGAAACACCUAGUUUUAUUUCCAGUCUGAACUCAUUAGAGCGAUACUUGAACAGUAGCUGUUAUCCUCCAAGACCAUUUUAUUUUAGCCUCAAAACCUUCUUUUCAUGUACCAUAUUUUCAUCUUCAGUGUUUUAUGUUACUAUCUUUUUUAAGGUAUUCACACGCAAGUCUACUUGAAAUGAACUAGAACAAUCAAACAAUAUAAUAUCUAAUGGAACUGAUAGUUGGUUUCACUGUCUGAGCCUUUCCUUAUAAAUCCAGUCCUGCUAGUUUUCCAAUUAAAUGUUUAGAGAAUCAAAUUCUUUUUAUUCAUUUUUUUUUAUUUAUGUUUGAUGGACAAAGUAUCUAUGUGUUGGUGUUUAUGUAUGUUUUUAAUGUGUUAAUGUGAAACCUAGAAACCUCCCAUUUGCUGUACGUCAACCAGAUAGACCUUCGUUGUUGUGAAGAGCCUCUGAAGGUUUUCCAAUGAUCUUUCAAUUCCAUAGUUUAUAUGUCACACAUCUCUGUGGAAGAUGAUGAAUAGGGAACAUCUUUUGUCAUUUCUAAUGUAUUGAAAAUUAUUUUUGAGACAAUUUUUAUGGACCCCUUCUCCCCUAAAUCCAAUGAGUAUGUUAUAACAGAGGCAUCUCAGGGCACAUAGUGCUCAGAUCUUUGAUCAGUCUUUUGAAUCUGUUAUACUUGUAGAUCUUAAAUCAAUGAAAUAACUGACUUAAUUGCUCAAGGCAUCACAACAGCACUGGGACCAUGAGACCUUCUUUAGACAAGAAUACAGCAGAUCUCUUUUAUUAAACAUAUUUAGGAGGUAGUUUACUUAAAAUGUUAAAUUAGAUAUCAAAUAAAAUACUAGAAUACAUUCCCUUGUGUACUGAACACAGCAUAACACUGUUUUAUUCCCUAAUCACAUUAUAUGGAAUAAAUUAUGCAUAAAGGCAUAUGUAUGCUUGGAACACGGAAAAAAUGAGAAUACUCUUGAGAUGGCAGGAGUGAUUUACUGGUCCACUCUCACAAUGAAUGAGAUGGGUAUAAGGAUUUCAAGAUCAAUAAUUUAAAGUGUAUAUUUUUAUUUUACAGUACUGUGUAAAUUACCCAAAUAAAAAAAGAGUAUUACAAAGCUUUUUAUUACUACUGUACAGGUUAUGCGGUCAGCUGCUCCAUGGCCAACAACAAGGGCCUAUCCUUGUUAAAUGAGACAUGUUAACCACAAUAUUACAGUUGAUUUUUUGGACUGUGAUUUAUUUUUUUUCCUUUGCAUUUUGACCGCAGAGAUUUAACAAUAUGAGAUUUAAAAAAUGUCAAUGAACUUUACCUUCAGCUGGUGGUGUAAAGGGCGGAGUCUAGUGGACAUAUGUGGAACCACAAGGACCUACUAAGUAAUGGGUGUGACCCUCUCUAAAUUGAGAGAAAUCAAUUUUUGGUGGUAAUCAAUUUUAUGACACAAAUGCUGUUGAUUGAGCUCAACGUGAAUUGAACCAAAAACAGUCCUUUAAUGUGAAUUAAGUCAUUUGCUAUGUGACCCACCAAAAAGUUAUUUUCUGGCUAUACCAUUGCUUGAGAGAGAGACACUCAAAUGAAGAAAAAAAAAUAUUUUGUGUUUAUAAGUGUUGCUCUGAGAGAAUAUGCCACUGAGUCACACAGUGGCAUUUGGGCAACAUGGGCAGCAUUUCAAUUCAGCCUUGGGGGUGUUCCUAUAAAGUAGCCAUAUUGGAGAAAGAGAGAGAGAGAGAGAGAGAGAGAGAGAGAGAGCGCGUGAGCAAUAAAUGACAGCAUAGUAUUCACUGUCAGUACUAUCGCAAGUGUCUGCAUGGCUACCACGGAUGUAAACAUAUGUUCUGUGAAACUGGGAUUGGCAAAUCAACUCUGAUGAACACACGUUUUAACACGACAUUUGAGAAUGAAGACGCCAGCCACUUCCAGAAGAGGUAGCAUCUACAUCCAAGAACUUACAACCUACAGGAAAGCAAUGUGGAUUUGCAGCUGACCAUUGUAGAUACUGUGGGAUUUGGGGACCAGGCCAAUAAAGAAGAAAGUGUGCUAACACGGCAACCUCCACCACCCCACCACCACAGGUUGAGUCCCAUUCUGCAUGGGGGUAGACUCCUCGCCCCUGCUUUCUGUCUCCGCUGGAUAUGACGGUUCCGAGUACAACUUCCUUGGACCGCCAGACGGGGUCUCCGCCAAAGAGAGACAUUACUUUUCUGUUUUAUAUCAUCAAAUAAAUGUCAUCUUAAACUUCACUCAAGUCUGCAGGUCUUCCUGAUAGAAAUAACUUGACUAUGGGAACUGGAUUGUUAUAACAUUUAGAUUUUUAGACUUGAAUAUAUUUUCCUCUAAACAGUUCAUCUAGUUUGUAAAGUACAAGAUUAAUUAUUUUAUACUACACAGGAUAAUGCAACUGUAACAAUUUUUCUUUUGGCUUACCAA